UACAAUAAUCUUGUAGAAAUUACAUAUUUAGAAGAAUUGGGGUACAAAUUUAGGGGUAAUGGGAUACAAUCAGAUCUUAAUAGAAGGAGGGACAUGCAAGUCCCUAUUUAAAAAUAUUACAACCAUUUAAGCCUUUAGAAAUCGGCCAAAUCAACAAAUAAAUCAAUAGCUCAUUCAAUCAUGCAUAUAUUCAAUCAUCACAUGACAUAAAUAUAUCAUAAAAUAUCUAGGUCUUUCCAUGAUCAUCCUUCAUGCUAUUAUAAAUGGAAAUAACAUAAAUCAUGCUUCAAAAAUUCAAAAUUGAAUGAAGAUGGCUCUGAUACCACUUGAAGGACAACAUUUGUCCAUGAGGUUCCUAAAAAACGCAACUUUUGCACAGUAAAAUUAAA
rnacentral:lncRNA from 1 species